rnacentral:ncRNA from 1 species
AUCGUGAGGUAUGGGAUGAAAGAAGAGAGUAGCAAAUAGACUGGGUAACGAAAAGAAACUUGAUAUAAGGCGAUUAACUAGUGAUGAAAUAGCUUAACAUAUUAAAAUCACAAACGACCGUAAUAGUUAAUCAGUAAAUCAAGUACUCAAGGCUAGAAAGAUAU